UCCAACCAGAAGGGUCUACUAGUUUUCAGAAGACCCUUCAACAAAAUCACAGAUUUGAUCCAGAAAAGCGAAAUUGACACGGAAAUUAAUCGUUGGCCUUAUAAAUGUCUCACCAUCACCUAAUAUGUAAGCAAAAUAGGAACAAGAUCAAAUCCUUCACCUAAUAAAGAAAAAACUUAAAAAAGAAAAAUUACAAUCUUCAAACUUAACUAAGAUAUAUGAAAUAUUUAAGAUAUUAUUGAAGGAGUGAAGUUGAUGAAAACCCAAGUAAAUAUGAAUCAAGUAGAGUGAUUGCUUAUUGAUUAAGCGGUCAAUGGGGUGAUGUUAUUGUAAUAAUUGGUGUGUGAAAUUGAAUACGCAUAAGUAAAUAGGCAAGUAGGUAAGAGAUGAGAUGGAGAGAAAGUGAAGUACCUGGAGAUGGUAAGAGAUGAGAUGGGGUGGGAAGCAAUAAUAAGAGAGAACGUAAGAGUUGUGUUUUGUUUGGGGGCGGAAACAGGCAAAGAUUCACUGUGUCCAGUUGUUGUUCACCGACCACAUUAAC
rnacentral:lncRNA from 1 species